CAGUCGCCGCGGUAAUACGUAGGUGGCAAGCGUUGCCCGGAAUUAUUGGGCGUAAAGGGCUCGCAGGCGGUUUCUUAAGUCUGAUGUGAAGGCCCCCGGCUCAACCGGGGAGGGUCAUUGGAAACUGGGAAACUUGAGUGCAGAAGAGGAGAGUGGAAUUCCACGUGUAGCGGUGAAAUGCGUAGAGAUGUGGAGGAACACCAGUGGCGAAGGCGACUCUCUGGUCUGUAACUGACGCUGAGGAGCGAAAGCGUGGGGAGCGAACAGGAUUAGAUACCCCUGUAGUCCCUGUCUCUUAUAC
rnacentral:rRNA from 1 species